AAAGGUGAAAUUCCAAAAGAUAAGGAUGGUAAACCAAAGCAGUUUGCGUUUGUGAAUUUCAAACAUGAAGUAUCUGUUCCUUAUGCAAUGAAUCUACUUAAUGGAAUCAAACUUUAUGGAAGGCCUAUCAAAAUUCAAUUUAGAUCAGGAAGUAGUCAUGCCUCGCAAGAUGUCAGUUUGCCAUAUCCCCAAUAUCAUGUUGGAAAUUCAAGCCCUACCUCCACAACUCCUAGCAGGUACGAAAGGACUAGGGAUAACAUGACUUCAUCAGCACAGAUAAUUCAGAGAUCUUUCUCUUCUCCAGAAAAUUUUCAGAGACAAGCAGUGAUGAACAGUGCUUUGAGACAAAUGUCAUAUGGUGGAAAAUUUGCUUCUUCACCUCUGGAUCAAUCAGGAUUUUCACCAUCAGUUCAAUCACACAGUCAUAGUUUUAAUCAGUCUUCAAGCUCCCAGUGGCGCCAAGGUACACCAUCAUCACAGCGUAAAGUCAGAAUGAAUUCUCAUCCCUACCUAGCAGAUAGACAUUAUAGCCGGGAACAGCGUUACACUGAUCAUGGGUCUGACCAUCAUUACAGAGGAAAGAGAUGAUUUCUUCUAUGAAGAUAGGAAUCAUGAUGGCUGGAGCCAUGACUAUGAUAACAGAAGAGACAGUAGCAGAGAUGGAAAAUGGCGCUCAUCUCGACACUAACACAUGUUAAAAGCACAUUG
rnacentral:lncRNA from 1 species